AGAACUUAGCAGAGAUGCUUUGGUGCCUUCGGGAACUCUGAGACAGGUGCUGCAUGGCUGUCGUCAGCUCGUGUUGUGAAAUGUUGGGUUAAGUCCCGCAACGAGCGCAACCCUUAUCCUUUGUUGCCAGCGAUUCGGUCGGGAACUCAAAGGAGACUGCCAGUGAUAAACUGGAGGAAGGUGGGGAUGACGUCAAGUCAUCAUGGCCCUUACGAGUAGGGCUACACACGUGCUACAAUGGCAUAUACAAAGAGAAGCGACCUCGCGAGAGCAAGCGGACCUCAUAAAGUAUGUCGUAGUCCGGAUUGGAGUCUGCAACUCGACUCCAUGAAGUCGGAAUCGCUAGUAAUCGUGGAUCAGAAUGCCACGGUGAAUACGUUCCCGGGCCUUGUACACACCGCCCGUCACACCAUGGGAGUGGGUUGCAAAAGAAGUAGGUAGCUUAACCUUCGGGAGGGCGCUUACCACUUUGUGAUUCAUGACUGGGGUGAAGUCGUAACAAGGUAACCGUAGGGGAACCUGCGGUUGGAUCACCUCCUUA
rnacentral:rRNA from 1 species